GUUUGAUCCUGGCUCAGGAUGAACGCUGGCGGCGUGCUUAACACAUGCAAGUCGAACGCACCUUCGGGUGAGUGGCGGACGGGUGAGUAACGCGUGAGAAUCUGCCCUCAGGAGGGGGAUAACGGCUGGAAACGGCCGCUAAUACCCCAUAUGCCGCGAGGUGAAACGAGUUUUCGCCUGAGGACGAGCUCGCGUCUGAUUAGCUAGUUGGUGGGGUAAGAGCCUACCAAGGCAUCGAUCAGUAGCCGGUCUGAGAGGAUGAUCAGCCACACUGGGACUGAGACACGGCCCAGACUCCUACGGGAGGCAGCAGUGGGGAAUUUUCCGCAAUGGGCGAAAGCCUGACGGAGCAACGCCGCGUGAGGGAUGAAGGCCUCUGGGCUGUAAACCUCUUUUCUCAAGGAAGAAGAUCUGACGGUACUUGAGGAAUAAGCCACGGCUAAUUCCGUGCCAGCAGCCGCGGUAAUACGGGAGUGGCAAGCGUUAUCCGGAAUUAUUGGGCGUAAAGCGUCCGCAGGCGGUCUUGAAAGUCUGUUGUUAAAGCGUGGAGCUUAACUCCAUUUCAGCAAUGGAAACUAGAAGACUAGAGUGUGGUAGGGGCAGAGGGAAUUCCCGGUGUAGCGGUGAAAUGCGUAGAUAUCGGGAAGAACACCAGUGGCGAAGGCGCUCUGCUGGGCCAUAACUGACGCUCAUGGACGAAAGCCAGGGGAGCGAAAGGGAUUAGAUACCCCUGUAGUCCUGGCCGUAAACGAUGAACACUAGGUGUCGGGGGAAUCGACCCCCUCGGUGUCGUAGCCAACGCGUUAAGUGUUCCGCCUGGGGAGUACGCACGCAAGUGUGAAACUCAAAGGAAUUGACGGGGGCCCGCACAAGCGGUGGAGUAUGUGGUUUAAUUCGAUGCAACGCGAAGAACCUUACCAGGGUUUGACAUCCUGCGAAUCCCUUGGAAACGAGGGAGUGCCUUCGGGAGCGCAGAGACAGGUGGUGCAUGGCUGUCGUCAGCUCGUGUCGUGAGAUGUUGGGUUAAGUCCCGCAACGAGCGCAACCCACGUCUUUAGUUGCCAGCAUUCAGUUGGGCACUCUAGAGAGACCGCCGGUGAUAAACCGGAGGAAGGUGUGGAUGACGUCAAGUCAUCAUGCCCCUUACAUCCUGGGCUACACACGUACUACAAUGCUACGGACAAAGGGCAGCAAACUCGCGAGAGCUAGCAAAUCCCAUAAACCGUGGCUCAGUUCAGAUCGUAGGCUGCAACUCGCCUACGUGAAGGAGGAAUCGCUAGUAAUCGCAGGUCAGCAUACUGCGGUGAAUACGUUCCCGGGCCUUGUACACACCGCCCGUUACACCAUGGAAGUUGGCCACGCCCGAAGUCGUUACUCCAACCCUUGUGGAGGAGGACGCCGAAGGUGGGGCUGAUGACUGGGGUGAAGUCGUAACAAGGUA
rnacentral:rRNA from 1 species